UACAGAGGUCUCAAGCGUUGUUCGGAUUCAUUGGGCGUAAAGGGUGCGUAGGCGGCGCGGUAAGUCGGGUGUGAAAUUUCGGAGCUUAACUCCGAAACUGCAUUCGAUACUGCCGUGCUUGAGGACUGGAGAGGAGACUGGAAUUUACGGUGUAGCAGUGAAAUGCGUAGAUAUCGUAAGGAAGACCAGUGGCGAAGGCGGGUCUCUGGACAGUUCCUGACACUGAGGCACGAAGGCCAGGGGAGCAAACGGG
rnacentral:rRNA from 1 species